rnacentral:rRNA from 1 species
GACGAACGCUGGCGGCGUGCUUAACACAUGCAAGUCGAACGGAAAGGCCCUGCUUUUGUGGGGUGCUCGAGUGGCGAACGGGUGAGUAACACGUGAGUAACCUGCCCUUGACUUUGGGAUAACUUCAGGAAACUGGGGCUAAUACCGGAUAGGAGCUCCUGCUGCAUGGUGGGGGUUGGAAAGUUUCGGCGGUUGGGGAUGGACUCGCGGCUUAUCAGCUUGUUGGUGGGGUAGUGGCUUACCAAGGCUUUGACGGGUAGCCGGCCUGAGAGGGUGACCGGCCAAAUUGGGAAUGAGGAACGGCCCAGACUGCUAAGGGAGGAAGCAGUGGGGAAAAUUGCAAAAUGGGCGGAAGCCUGAUGCAGCAACGCCGCGUGCGGGAUGACGGCCUUCGGGUUGUAAACCGCUUUCGCCUGUGACGAAGCGUGAGUGACGGUAAUGGGUAAAGAAGCACCGGCUAACUACGUG